rnacentral:rRNA from 1 species
AACGGGCUGUUGCUGGUCCUCGAUGGGGACAUGUGCACGCUCUGUUUACACAUCCACUCACACCUGUGCACCCUCUGUAGUUUUACGGUCUGGGGGACCCUGUCUUCCUUCUGUAGUUCUACGUCUUUACACACACACUGUAAUAAAGUCUUAUGGAAUGUAUGCCGCGUCUAACGCAACACAAUACAACUUUCAGCAACGGAUCUCUUGGCUCUCGCAUCGAUGAAGAACGCAGCGAAAUGCGAUAAGUAAUGUGAAUUGCAGAAUUCAGUGAAUCAUCGAAUCUUUGAACGCACCUUGCGCCCCUUGGAUAUUCCGAGGGGCAUGCCUGUUUGAGUAUCAUGAACACCUCAACUCUCAUGGUUUGCCGUGACGAGCUUGGACCUUGGGGGUUUUGCUGGCCUGUGGUCGGCUCCUCUCAAAUGAAUCAGCCUCCCAGUGUUUGGUGGCAUCACGAGUGUGAUAACUAUCUACUCUCGCGGUUGCCCACCAGGUAACCUUUGGUGACAAAGGUUCGCUGGAGCUCACAGAUGUCUCUCCUUAGCGAGGACAGCUUUUUAACGUUCGAUCUCAAAUCAGGUAGGACUACCCGCUGAACUUAAGCAUAUCAAUAAGCGGAGGAAAAGAAACUAACAAGGAUUCCCCUAGUAACUGCGAGUGAAGCGGGAAGAGCUCAAAUUUAAAAUCUGGCGUGCCUCUGGUCGUCCGAGUUGUAGUCUAGAGAAGUGUUUUCCGUGCUGGACCGUGUACAA